UACAGAGGUCUCAAGCGUUGUUCGGAUUCAUUGGGCGUAAAGGGUGCGUAGGUGGCGGGGUAAGUCAGGUGUGAAAUUUCGGAGCUUAACUCCGAAACUGCAUUUGAUACUGCCUUGCUUGAGGACUGGAGAGGAGACUGGAAUUCACGGUGUAGCAGUGAAAUGCGUAGAUAUCGUGAGGAAGACCAGUGGCGAAGGCGGGUCUCUGGGCCGAUACUGACGCUGAGGAGCGAAAGCGUGGGGAGCGAACAGG
rnacentral:rRNA from 1 species